rnacentral:lncRNA from 1 species
GUAGGUUUGUUUACGGGCUGUUUGGGGCGGGGCGGGCCUGGAUGAGGGUCGGGUACUAGGGUACGGACCGGGACUCCAGGCCGCGUGUGACGCUCUGUUCUCUAUUUUUUGCAUCUGCCGGGGAUUUUCUCCCAGACCUUCUUGCGAGUGCGAGCCAACCGGCAAACCCGACUGAAUGCUCGGAUUGGGAAAAUGAAACGGAGGAAGCAAGAUGAAGGGCAGAGGGAAGGCUCCUGCGUGGCUGAGGAUGACGCCGUGGACAUCGAGCAUGAGAACAGCAACCGCUUUGAGGAGUAUGAGUGGUGUGGGCAGAAGCGGAUACGGGCCACCACGCU